AUGCUGGAGGUAUCAGAAGUGCGAAUGCUGACAUAAGUAACGAUAAAGCGGGUGAAAAGCCCGCUCGCCGGAAGACCAAGGGUUCCUGUCCAACGUUAAUCGGGGCAGGGUGAGUCGACCCCUAAGGCGAGGCCGAAAGGCGUAGUCGAUGGGAAACAGGUUAAUAUUCCUGUACUUGGUGUUACUGCGAAGGGGGGACGGAGAAGGCUAUGUUGGCCGGGCGACGGUUGUCCCGGUUUAAGCGUGUAGGCUGGUUUUCCAGGCAAAUCCGGAAAACUAAGGCUGAGGCGUGAUGACGAGGCACUACGGUGCUGAAGCAACAAAUGCCCUGCUUCCAGGAAAAGCCUCUAAGCAUCAGGUAACAUCAAAUCGUACCCCAAACCGACACAGGUGGUCAGGUAGAGAAUACCAAGGCGCUUGAGAGAACUCGGGUGAAGGAACUAGGCAAAAUGGUGCCGUAACUUCGGGAGAAGGCACGCUGAUAUGUAGGUGAAGUCCCUCGCGGAUGGAGCUGAAAUCAGUCGAAGAUACCAGCUGGCUGCAACUGUUUAUUAAAAACACAGCACUGUGCAAACACGAAAGUGGACGUAUACGGUGUGACGCCUGCCCGGUGCCGGAAGGUUAAUUGAUGGGGUUAGCGCAAGCGAAGCUCUUGAUCGAAGCCCCGGUAAACGGCGGCCGUAACUAUAACGGUCCUAAGGUAGCGAAAUUCCUUGUCGGGUAAGUUCCGACCUGCACGAAUGGCGUAAUGAUGGCCAGGCUGUCUCCACCCGAGACUCAGUGAAAUUGAACUCGCUGUGAAGAUGCAGUGUACCCGCGGCAAGACGGAAAGACCCCGUGAACCUUUACUAUAGCUUGACACUGAACAUUGAGCCUUGAUGUGUAGGAUAGGUGGGAGGCUUUGAAGUGUGGACGCCAGUCUGCAUGGAGCCGACCUUGAAAUACCACCCUUUAAUGUUUGAUGUUCUAACGUUGACCCGUGAUCCGGGUUGCGGACAGUGUCUGGUGGGUAGUUUGACUGGGGCGGUCUCCUCCUAAAGAGUAACGGAGGAGCACGAAGGUUGGCUAAUCCUGGUCGGACAUCAGGAGGUUAGUGCAAUGGCAUAAGCCAGCUUGACUGCGAGCGUGACGGCGCGAGCAGGUGCGAAAGCAGGUCAUAGUGAUCCGGUGGUUCUGAAUGGAAGGGCCAUCGCUCAACGGAUAAAAGGUACUCCGGGGAUAACAGGCUGAUACCGCCCAAGAGUUCAUAUCGACGGCGGUGUUUGGCACCUCGAUGUCGGCUCAUCACAUCCUGGGGCUGAAGUAGGUCCCAAGGGUAUGGCUGUUCGCCAUUUAAAGUGGUACGCGAGCUGGGUUUAGAACGUCGUGAGACAGUUCGGUCCCUAUCUGCCGUGGGCGCUGGAGAACUGAGGGGGGCUGCUCCUAGUACGAGAGGACCGGAGUGGACGCAUCACUGGUGUUCGGGUUGUCAUGCCAAUGGCACUGCCCGGUAGCUAAAUGCGGAAGAGAUAAGUGCUGAAAGCAUCUAAGCACGAAACUUGCCCCGAGAUGAGUUCUCCCUGACUCCUUGAGAGUCCUGAAGGAACGUUGAAGACGACGACGUUGAUAGGCCGGGUGUGUAAGCGCAGCGAUGCGUUGAGCUAACCGGUACUAAUGAACCGUGAGGCUUAACCUUACAACGCCGAAG
rnacentral:rRNA from 1 species